rnacentral:rRNA from 1 species
UACGUAGGGGGCAAGCGUUGUCCGGAUUUAUUGGGCGUAAAGAGCGUGUAGGCGGCCAGACAGGUCCGUUGUGAAAACUCGAGGCUCAACCUCGAGACGCCGAUGGAAACCGUCUGGCUAGAGUCCGGAAGAGGAGAGUGGAAUUCCUGGUGUAGCGGUGAAAUGCGCAGAUAUCAGGAAGAACACCCGUGGCUAAGGCGGCUCUCUAGUAGCGGUACUGACGCUGAGACGCGAAAAGCGUGGGGAGCGAACAGG